UCUUCCUAACCUCUAUAUAUAAAAGUCAAGAUCUCUUCAAGUUUGCAAACCAAGUGUUUAAAAUUCUUAAAAAAUAAAUACUCCUACAAAAUAAGGAAGCUCAAAAAAUGAGCAAUACUACCCCAAAAGCAGAAAUCUCAAAGUCACCGGAAGAAGGUGGUUACUAUGACGGCUCAUCAGAACAGUCGUCGUCACAGCCUGAGAAGAAGAAGAACAAACCAUUAGGCGACAACUUCUCGAAACUUCCAUCGCCGCGUGGGGAGAAGAAGAACAACAUUGUCAAGGAUGCUUUAGGUUUUAAUAAAGAUAAUAAGAAGAAUGAAGAAGGAGAUGGAGCAAAAGAAGCAUAAUAAGAAGGAAAAAUAAACUACACCAUUUGUGUAUUAUGAACUUGGAAUUUUCCUUCCAUAGACUUUUCCUUCCUUUGGUUUUUGGUUGUACGAAUAUUAUCUUGUGUGACUAUAUUGUCCUUUAUCUUAUACAAUAAUGAAUACUUUUUCUUCUAAACAUCACUAACCCGUCUAUCUAUCUAUUAGAGGUGUUCAAAGCAAACUCGAUAGUCCUACAUUUAUUCGAAUUUGUAACUAAAUCAAAAUGAUUUAACCCGAUAUAAAAAAUAGAUAAAAAAUUAUGUAAAAACCAACAUGGAUACACGACCCAAUUUUGAACCGACCAAAAAUAUAUAACUUGCACUAGUGAAAAAAAACGUAUUUGCUGCGUGUCAUUUGCUGAGGUUUUUUUUAUAUACGCAGCAAUAAAUAGGAAAAACAAUUUAGAAAAAAAAAACCUAUUAAAUACUGCGGUUUCUUCAUUGCCCGCAGCAAAUAAGCGUUGAAGAACUCAAAUGCUGCGGUUCUUUGUGAGCCCGCAGCAAAUAAGACGUUAUUUGCUGCGGUUGGUUUUGGCCCGCAGCAAUUAAGUGCCAUUGUGUUGAGAAAUUGCUAUGGUUCCCUCGAAGCCCGUAGAAAAUAUUGCUUUCUAAAAAAUUAAAAUAACCCGCCUUUCAACAUUCCAGGCCAUUUCACAAAAUACUUACUGUUGUGUAUUCUCCAAAAGCCCUCCUAAAACCUACCAUUUUCGCAUACCUACUGUUGUAUUCGUUCAAAAACCCACCAUUUUUGCACAUUCCUACUGUUGCUUCUUCAUUGUUGCUUCUUCAAUUUCGUUUGUCUUCUUCAUCGUUGUACUGUUGCUUCCUUCAGUUUCGCAUACCCAACGAACAUUUCAACCUAAACCCACAAAAUUCAAGGUAUCUUUUUCAUUUUGAUUUUGUAAUUAGGUUUAAAUUUGUCAUACUUUAUGAAUGUGUAUGUUGUUGUUGUUUUUAAGUUCUAAAUUUAUCAUACAUAUCAUGUUUUGUUAUAUUUUUAAGUAAUUUCUUCAUUUUAUUUAUGAAUGUGUAUGUAGUUGUGGUUUUUAAGUUUUAAAUUAUCAUAAUUUUUUUAAUAGUUUGUAAAUUAGGUUUAAUUAGGGUUGUUUAAUGAAUGAGUUAUUGAUAUAAAUGUUAAUUAGUUGUCCAAGUUUAUGAAUGUGAUUUUAUUUUUAUUGUUUUUAUAUGUUGUUAAUAUAUAUGAAUAUUAAUUAUGGUUAGUACAAUAAACAUCAUUUGGACAGUUUAAAAAACAUUGUAUUAUUAUUUGGGUUAAUUAGGUUUACAUGAAUGAUUAUUACUUAAUUUUGUGCUUCAUUAGGGUUCGUUAAGUAUAUAUGUUUAAAAGUUGUGUAUUAAUUUUGUUUUGAAUUAAUUAAUCACACUAAUUAGGAUGACAAAAGAUCGUUUUUGGAUGUAUGGAAGCAUUGAAUCGUCAGAAUUUAUUGAUGGCGCAUUAGAAUUUUGUAGUAUUACGGUUGAACAUCAAGUUAGAACGGGGGGAGUUGGUUUUGAAAUUAUUGCGGGCUUCAUUCCCGAGAUUGAAGUGGUAAAUUUACCAUUAAUGAUCCGGGAACAAAGAAAGUUGCUGAUGCUGUGAUGAACUGGAAGGAAAAAGAAGCUACGGGGGAGUUCACCCCAAGAGGCAAUGUUGAAGCAUUGCAUAUGGUCUUAGGGAAAGACCACAGUGGGCGGGUAGUCAAAAAAGGACGCGUCUGCGUGGGGUUACAAAAGGCAUUUGACAAAGAGUGUGUUGCUACUCAAUCCCGAACGAUGCCACCUGAUGAAGUAGCAACCCUCCGAGCAGAAAUUACGAAAGACGUUCUCGCCAAACUGGUACUCGUGUUGCAGAAGAUGGGAGCACCCAUUGUUGACUUGGCAAACCUGAUUGUCGAGGAUUAGGAAAGUCAACAUGGGGAUCCUAAUGCUUCGGUAGAGCCAACACCCGAGCCCAUUACCCCCGUAGCACCCCAGCCCAUUACUACCCCUGAAGGGGAAAACCCCACACCGAAGACCAUAAACUCCGUUGCUCAAAAUCCGGAGCCAACUUCGGAGCCAAUGGUACAGGUACAUAGUUUUUAAAUAUAUAAGCACUUAUUAAUUUAAAUUGCAACGCGUUUUAAUAUUUUAUUAUAAUGCUUAUUAUACUAAACGACACAAUUUUCAGAAGGCGACUCUUUGUUCUCUUUUGCUGCCUCGGUUAGGUGUUGCUAGUUAUGGCGACUUAACUGAGGUUGUAUAUGGUGUGGCCCAACCAACCAAAGAGGGCCAAACAGUGCAUUCGAUGCCUGUUACAAGUGGCCACAUCAAUGUGACCGUGGAAACUAUUCUAAAGGGUUUUAAAGAUUUCUCACUCCCAAUUCCAAUGCCAGAAUGGAGCCUUGAGAAACUAUCAGACGCCCUAGGUAGUUUCUUCACAUGGUCAUAUCAUAUGCUUGGGUCCGAUUCACUAACAUGGUAACAAUCAUUUGUACCUUAUUUAUUUUUAUUUUUAUAAUUGCAUGCUUACACUAAUUUAAUUGUAUAAAUUGAAAUAGCAAAAGAGUCCAAAGGGAUCUUGGAGAGAGAUCGGUUCCUCAGCAUAGGUGUCGACCGGGUCAAAGUCGAUGCCAAGCACUCCAAUUUUGACUGAUGCAGAGCUAAAAGAUCUCUCUCAAGAUUGCAAAUGGCUGCACACUUGUGCAUCUCGCAUAAGUGAGGAGGACUCAAUCAUUCUAAACCUGCAGAAGGAACAAUUCUGCUUUUUAGAGAGCACAUUUGUAAUUAUUGGUCCUAGUGACAUUGGGCAAUUUUUGAGAAGAGAGAUAUUGAACGUAGCUCUUAUCCAUGUCUACAUGAGUGCGGCUUACGAGGAGCUAAAUUCUUGCGAACCUCCAAUAAAAAUUGGAUGGUUUUGUCCUGAGUCGAUUUCGGAUACUAAAUGUGUAAAUGAUCCAGAUGACAUUAGAGCAUACAUUGAGACUUCUUUGACUAAUUUUCUUGCAUCUAAACACACGUUCAUUCUGGCUUCAUAUGUGGAAGAUUUGCAUUGGAUACUUUUGGUCAUUUGUCCUUUAACAAACAUUGUGCACGUCUUCGACUCAUUACAAAAAUCUCAAAGCCCGCCUUGCAACACAAAAUUCAAAGCGUUGUUGGAUGCAUACCACAAUGAAGAAAGUGCGUGGACAAAUGGGAUCUAUAUCCAGAGCCACAUUUCCGAAAUGGACAGAAUUAAAGUGCUUUCAACAACCUUCUAAUUCCGUUGAUUGCGUCUACUACACGCUGAAAUACAUGGACGAUAUUAUAAAAUCCGUAAAGGAGGUUGGAGUCAAUAUAGAUGUUGUUUUAUACGACAUUCCGAGGGAAACACGCCCUCUGAGAAAUGGAGAGAUGCGCGAAUUAAAAGACAAGAUUGCCGCGUAUCUUGCUAAUUUUUGUCCUUGAUAAAUUGUAAUUAAUAAAGAUUUUUUAGGACUUUAAUGUAUGUUAUAUAUAUGUACGUACAUAAUAUUAUAUUAUAUAUACGAUCGAGAGUUUAUUAUUAUUACAAAGAGAUUAUUGGUGAUUAUUUGUGAUUUUCAUUGGAUUAUUGGAUUAAUCA